UUUUCCUAAAAGGGAAAAGAAAAACAAUUAUAAAAUGCAUACCAGUCCUAGAAAAAGGAAAACUCUAAUAUUUCAACACAUAUUUUUAUCAUUUUUAUCUUUUUCUGAUAGAUCUUUUCCCCCCACCCUUCCCUCGAUAGACCUUCAGUAUUAAGACCAAAUGGUAUUUAUACUUCUAUUCUCUACUAAAAAUUUUUUCCAUAGCAUAAUUCUCACAUGAUUUUCAAAAUGGCACUUGUAAAUACAUACAAGGGAAAAAGGAGAAAAAACUUGUUGGAUAACAGUACAUUGCAGAAAACUGCUAUGGAUUAAAAAUAAUGUAUAAUAAUGACCACAAAUAGAUUUAAAUCCAUUGCAUGGAAAUGAGACUGAUACUUUGGCUAGACCAGUAGUUCCUGACCACGGGGAUUUUUCUGUCCCCAUUCCCCACUCCCCUCCGCCCCUGGACACUUUUGCCUGUUCUUAAGGAAGAAUCUUCUAGCCUUCUUAGAGUUGCUCUUUGGUGGGCUGCCUAUAAGAUGAGCCAUAUUUAUUUAGCAACAUGAAUAACCUUAGACAAGAUGCUUGGUGUUCAAGUAGUAUUUACUAUGUGCCAUGGACUUCUCUAAAUGCUUCAUGUGUAUUUUCAAAACAACUCUCUCCUGGUAAGGACAAUUAUCCCCACUCUUCAGAUGAGGAAACAGAAGCACAAAAAGCAAUGGCUCAAGGUUGCAAUUAUAUGUAGCAAAGUUAGGAUUUAAACCCAGAAUGUUGGACUCCAGAGCCUGUGAUCUUGUCUUAGCUUUUAAAGUUUUAAUUAGUGCUUGCUUCGGCAGCACAUAUACUAAAGUUUUAAUUAGUUAGAAACUGUGUGUCAGAUGUUCUGGGAACUAGACUGUAGUCAUUGUGUGUCACUGUAGAGACCCCAACACAAAAAUCAUACCUCAUUACCCUGUUGAUCCAGAUCUUGCUCUUCCUGCUCCAAACAUAAAAUUUUAAAAGUCAGCUAUAACUUAAAUUGAAAUUCCACAUGAUUAAAAACUAUGAGGAGAAAAAAAUAUUAAUAUAGCAAGACUAUCACAUUGAACCAACAGGUUAUGGACCCCAAGAAUGUAUUCUUCAGUGUCACAAAACUCUAGUGAAUUAAUUUGUGCAUCUAAUAUUUUAUUUUAUUUAUUUAUUUUUUAACAUUUAUUUUUAUUUUUGAGACACAGAGCAUGAACGGGGGAGGGUCAGAGAGAGGGAGACACAGAAUCUGAAACAGGCUCCAGGCUGUGAACUGUCAGCACAGAGCCCAAUGUGGGGCUCGAACUCACGGACCACGAGAUCAUGACCUGAAGUCGGACGCUUAACUGACUAAGCCACCCAGGCGCCCCGUGCAUCUAAUAUUUUAGAGAACAAUGCAAUUCAAAGAAAAAGGAUUGUUCUCUGAAGUGUUUUUUUUUUUAAGGACUUUCAUUUGGAGUACAUGCUAAAACAGUAAAAUGUAAAAUGACAAUUUAAAAUUACAACUAAAUUUGAUGUUUGCCAAAAGAAAAUGGAGAAUCGUAGAAUAGAACUUGUAAGAAUUUUUCACUAUUAAGGUAAGCUUGGGGCGCCUGUGUGUCUCAAGUUGGUUAAGCGUCUGACUCUUGAUUUUGGCUCAGGUCAUGAUCUCACCAACUGUGAGCUUGAGCCCCACAUCGGGCUCUGUGCUGUGUGGAGCCUGCUUGGGACUCUCUCUCACACACACACACAAUAGGUAAAUAUAAAAGAAAAAGGUAAGUUUAAUUUUGUUUUGCUUUGCUUAGAUUAUCUCCAAAUAGAUUUUUUAUGUAUGAUUCAUUAUAUCCCAAUAUUUAUGAGUUUACAGUUUACAGAAUUACAAAUAUGAGAACAGUGUAAAAAAAUCUGAGGAUCAAACUGAGUUAUAACAUCACUAAACAAUAACAUUGUCCAGAGGAAAACAACAGUAACACAUUUAGAAUCCCUGUAAGCAUUAUCUGCACUGAACAGAGCAAACAAUUCUAACCAAAGCUUUAACUGCAAUAAAUAAAAUACAGGCUAAGUGAAAUUUUUUCCAAUUUUAUAAUCAUUUGCUCAAGAUUUCAAGAUCUCAGGCAACCAUCUUAACUGGAAAAAACUUAACUUCUAACUGGUUUUUCAACCAGAGCACUUGGCAGUUUCAACAUCAUGUAAGAUAAUUACAGCAUAUAUUCUCAUAGAAAAAUCUAGAGUAGCGCAAAUUUAUUCCUACUCCUCUUCAAGAUAAUCCCAAUUAUUUGUCUUAUUUUAACGAAGUUCCCACUAGAAUCAAAGCCUCUCCAUACAAUUCUUUUCUACGCUUACAUCCUGGAAAUGUAGUCUUUUAGGUUGUAUUUCUAAAAUGACUUUCCAUUAAGGAUAAAGUUACCACUUGUCCUGGUUUUAGUACUUGUAAGCCUCAUAUUUUGGGAACCUGAGGUGGUUAGUGACCCUAAUUAAUGAAGCAAAAGCCCACAUAUGUGUGGUAGCCUUACCUUGUCAUCAUGUGGAUCAUCUACAGCCAAGUCUUGUAACUCUUGAGUUACAACCUCAAGGGAGGGAGUUUCUUUCUUUACGCUGUCUGAAGCCCUUUGUCCACCUCUAGGUUUCUGGGGCUGUUUCUUCACAGGUUCAUCCUUUGUUUUUCCUUUCUUCCCCUUCUUCCCCUUUUCUUCUUUGUUUGAACCUGCAGACUUUAUUUCAUAGAAGUAAAAUGUAAGUAUGUUCAAUAUUGUCAAUAUUUAAAAAUUUUUUUUAUUUGUUUAAUUUACAUCCAAGUUAGCAUACAGUACAACAAUGAUUUCAGGAGUAGAUUCCUUAAUGCCCCUUACCCAUUUAGCCCACCCCCCACCCCACAACCACUCCAGUAACCCUCUGUCCUCCAUAUUUGAGUCUAUUAUGUUUUGUCCCCCUCCCUGUUUUUAUAUUAUUUUUGCUUCCCUUCUGUUAAUCUGUUUUGUAUCUUAAAGUCCUCAUAUGACUGAAGUCAUCAUAUGAUAUGUCUUUCUGUAAUUUCGCUUAGCCUAAUACCCUCUAGUUCCAUCCAUAGUUGCAAAUGGCAAGAUUUCAUUCUUUUGAUUGCCAGGUAAGACUCCAUUGUAUAUAUAUACCACAUCUUUAUCCAUUCAUCCAUUGAUACAUUUGGGCUCUUUCCAUACUUUGGCUAUUGUUGAUAGUGCUGCUGUAAACAUUGGGGUGCAUGUGUCCCUUCGAAAAACCAUACCUGUAUCCCAUGGAUAAAUGCCGAGUAGUGCAAUUGCUGGGUCCUAGGGUAGUUCUAUUUUUAAUUUUUUGAGGAACCUCCAUACUGUUUUCCAGAGUGGCUGCACCAGCUUGGAUUCCCACCAGCAGUGCAAAAGAAAUCCUCUUUCUCCACAUCCUUGCCAACAUCUGUUGUUGCCUGAGUUGUUCAUUUUAGCCAUUCUGACAGGUAUGAGGUGGUAUCUCAUUGUGGUUUUGAUUUGUAUUUCCCUUAAGAUGAGUGAUGUUGAGUAUGUUUUCAUGUGUCAGUUGGCCAUCUGGAUGUCUUCUUUGGAGAAGUGUCUAUUCAUGUCUUUUGCCCAUUUCUUCACUGGAUUAUUUGCUUUUUGGGUGUUGAGUUUGGUAAGUUCUUUACAGAUUUUGGAUCCUAACCCUUUAUCUGAUAUGUCAUUUGCAAAUAUCUUCUCCCAUUCCGUCGGUUGCCUUUUAGUUUUGCUGAUUGUUUCCCUCUCUGUGCAAAAGCUUUUUAUUUUCAUGAGGUCCCAGUAUUUCAUUUUUGCUUUUGUUUCUCUUGCCUCUGGAGACAUGUUGAGUAAGAAGUUGCUGCAGCCAAGAUCAAAGAGGUUUUUGUCUGCUUUCUCCUUGAGGAUUGAUGGCUUCCUGCUUUACAUUUAGGUCUUUCAUCCAUUUUGAGGUUUUUUUUGUAUAUGGUGUAAGAAAGUGUUCCAGGUUCAUUCUUCUGCAUGUUGCUGUCCAGUUUUCCCAGCACCACUUGCUGAAGAGACUGUCUUUAUUCCACUGGAUAUUCUUUACUGCUUUGUCAAAGAUUAGUUGGCCAUACGUUUGUGGGUCCAUUUCUGGGUUCUCCAUUCUGUUCCACUGAUCCGAGUGUCUGUUUUUGUGCCAAUACUGUCUAUAUUUUAACAAAAAUGUAUUGAAUCCUACCAUAUGAUAGGCUGUGGUCUGAAUGCCCCUUAAAAAACAAAGGAAGAAAAGACUUUUAGAUGUUACUUACCCCCAGCAAUUUCAUGAUGAGUUCACGUUCUUCUUCAUCUUGGUCUUUGUAUUUUUCCUUCAUUUUUUUCAUUUUACUCUACAAAAUCAAAAGAUUUUACUUGGAAAACUUCAGUUAAAAAAUGUCAACAAAUGUUUGUAAAGAAAAGGUGCUCCUGGGCGCCUGGGUGGCUCAGUCGGUUGAGGGUCUGACUUCAGCUCAGGUCAUGAUCUUGCAGUCUGUGAGUUCGAGCCCCACAUCGGGCUCUGUGCUGACAGCUCGGAGACUGGAGCCUGCUUCGGAUUCUGUGUCUCCCUCUCUCUCUGGCCCUUCCCUUCUUGAGCUCUGUCUCUCUCUCUCUCUCAAAAAUAAACAAACAUUAAAAAAAAAAUUAAAAAAAAAAAAAAAAAGGAAAGCUGCUCCUAUUCUCUGUCAGAAAUGGUUACCAAGCAAGGUACCAUUAUAAUAAACAACAUGGAGGCUAAGAAGAUGGAUAAACCAUAGUCCUCAGCCUCAAGGAGUUUACCAUCUGGUAGAAAAAAAUACAUAUAAGAGCAAGGAUAAAUUAAUGCAACAUAUUCUAAAUGCAAACAUUAUUCUUAAGAUACUUCAGAGAAAGAAAUUUCUUUCAGCUUAAGCAAGAACUGUGGGGAAGAAAUAAAGUAAAACUUGAAAGUCUUAAGUAAAUUUUAUAGUAUCAGGGAUUAUAUAAAAAGCAGGAUUAUAAGGUAAAAACAGGACAGUAUACUAACAGCAAGUUAUUGCAUUUGGUUGGAG